rnacentral:rRNA from 1 species
UUGGUCAAUGGCCGAAAGGCUGAACCAGUAACUUGGAAGAAUGUAAGUGUAUUUGUAUAAAUACAAUAGCGAUUAUGUCGCAUAAAAUUCUAAAUAGAUUGUAUAUAAUGACAUAAUCUAUUUAUAAGUCUUGACCAAACUACGUGCCAGCAGUCGCGGUAAUACGUAGGAGGCUAGUGUUAGUUAUCUUUAUUGGGUUUAAAGGGUAAGUAGACGGUAAAUUAAACUCUAAAUGAGUACUUUUUUACUAGAGUUAUAUGAGAGAAGGAAGAAUUUCUGGAGUAGAGAUAAAAUUCGAUGAUACCAGGAGGACUGUCAACGGCGAAGGCGUCCUUCUAUGUAAUCACUGACGUUGAGAGACGAAGGCUUGGGUAGCAAACAGGAUUAGAUACCCUAGUAGUCCAAGCAGACAAUGAUGAAUGUCAUACAUUAGAUAAAAAUUUAAUGUAUAAACGAAAGUGUAAGCAUUCCACCUCAAGAGUACUAUGGCAACAUAUAAACUGAAAUCAUUAGACCGUUUCUAAAACCAGUAGUGAAGUAU